rnacentral:rRNA from 1 species
UACGUAGGGUGCGAGCGUUGUCCGGAAUUAUUGGGCGUAAAGGGCUCGUAGGCGGUCUGUUGCGUCGGGAGUGAAAACUCAGGGCUUAACCCUGAGCCUGCUUCCGAUACGGGCAGACUAGAGGUAUGCAGGGGAGAACGGAAUUCCUGGUGUAGCGGUGAAAUGCGCAGAUAUCAGGAGGAACACCGGUGGCGAAGGCGGGUCUCUGGGCCACUACUGACGCUGAGGAGCGAAAGUGUGGGGAGCGAACAGG